rnacentral:lncRNA from 1 species
CAUCUGUGAAGUCUCACUUCUCCCCGGCAGUUCAGAAGGCUCACGGGAUGAGGCCAGCACUCAGUGGUGGCCUGGGCUACAGGGCUUCCGAAACAGCCAGCGGCACCCCUACCUUUGGAUUCUACAUGAGCCUGUCCCUUCUGUCUCUAUGACUGCUUUCCUGGCAGCUUGAGGAUCGGAAGCCACCAUGUUGGAAAUGAG